GAUGAACGCUGGCGGCGUGCUUAAUACAUGCAAGUCGAGCGAACAGAUGAGGAGCUUGCUCCUCUGACGUGUGCGGCGCACGGGUGAGUAACACGUGUAUAACCUACCUAUAAGACUGGGAUAACUUCGGGAAACCGGAGCUAAUACCGUAGAAUAUAUUGCACCGCAGGGUGCAAUAGUGAAAGACGGUUUUGCUGUCACUUAUCGAUGCAUCCGGGCCGCAUUAGCUAGUUGGUAAGUUAACGGCCUACCAAGGCAACGAUGCGUAGCCGAACUGAGAGACUGGUCGCCGACCUGGGAAGUGAGCCGCGGACCAGACUCCUACGGGAGGCAGCAGUAGGGAAUGUUACGCAAUGGGGGAGAGCCUGACGGAGUAAGGGCGCGUGAGUGAUGACGGUCUUCGGAUCGUGAAACUCUGUUAUUAGGGAAGAACCAAUGUGUCAGUAACUAUGCAGGUAUUGACGGUAACUAAUAAGAAAGCCACGGCUAACUACGUG
rnacentral:rRNA from 1 species